rnacentral:rRNA from 1 species
AACGAACGCUGGCGGCAGGCUUAACACAUGCAAGUCGAACGGUAACAGGUUAAGCUGACGAGUGGCGAACGGGUGAGUAAUGCAUCGGAACGUGCCCGGUCGUGGGGGAUAACGCAGCGAAAGCUGCGCUAAUACCGCAUACGAUCUGAGGAUGAAAGCGGGGGACCGUAAGGCCUCGCGCGAUCGGAGCGGCCGAUGUCAGAUUAGGUAGUUGGUGGGGUAAAGGCUCACCAAGCCAACGAUCUGUAGCUGGUCUGAGAGGACGACCAGCCACACUGGGGCUGAGACACGGCCCAGACUCCUACGGGAGGCAGCAGUGGGGAAUUUUGGACAAUGGGCGAAAGCCUGAUCCAGCAAUGCCGCGUGCAGGAAGAAGGCCUUCGGGUUGUAAACUGCUUUUGUACGGAGCGAAAAGGUCUCCUCUAAUACAGGGGGCUCAUGACGGUACCGUAAGAAUAAGCACCGGCUAACUACGUGCCAGCCGCCGCGGUAA